ensembl:lncRNA
GACGACAAACGUAAAACCCAUGUUGUGCAUGCAAAUGUAAAUAUAUUAUGCCAGUAAUCUACAUGGAUUUAAAAUUAAAAUUAACGUGACUACACCAGCUGUUGUAAGCGUAAUCCCCGCAAAAUUCAAAGUCAAAAUGGCGGCAGCGAUGCCGGCCCAAACAAACGCUGUUUCCGGACUUCUUUUUCUUCUCUUUUUUCAUCGAAAAACAAUCAGUAUUAAUUCAUACAUGUCAACAAUCUGUCAAAUUUCCUCAUUACAGUAAACCCUGUGAAUCACUCUCAACCAGAAUGUGCAUCCACUCGUAUGAUAAUUAGGGAUAAAGAUGGUUUGCAUUCUGAUGCUGGACAUACUAGUGUGUUAAUGUUGGCAAAUAAGAAAAAGAUAAGAUGCAGGUCCACCCCUCAGCCCCCCUCAACAGACCCUCCCUUGCAACUCAAACCACCAAGAAUGCAACAACUUUAUAGAGAUGUAGCAGGGGAGCACGAGACAAGCAAGGGCAGCUCUCGUUCCCAGGAUCCUGCUGACCUGCACCCGAACAGGCCGGCUCCACGCGGACCUGUCUGUCCACAGACAUGGCCACCGACUGUGUGGUCCCGUCCAGCGAGGUGUGCGAUAGACAUAGCUGAUAUCAAUAGCAGGGACAGCAUCAUCAAUCAGGGCUUGUCCCGUGGAGGGGUGAGUGUGUGUCUAUCUGUAUGUGUGUGUGUGUUAAGAAGCUCUUUUCCAUCCACAUCUUUUUAUGAUCCUGCACUGGGUCUUUUUUUUGUGAUAAAAAAAAGUAUUGCAUAUAUUCAUUAAAAAUCAACCAUCCAUUACCAUCAAUAUACAUACACAUAUACAGUACACACAUGCCCAUACGUACUGUGAUGGCCCAGCCGGUGAGCAGUGCCCCACGUGGCGAGAAACAGCCAGGAGAGGGCCACCAAGAGGCAUGGUAAUGGAAGGGAGGUACUACCCCAGGUGUCACUGAGUUCCCCUCCCAGGUGUCGGUAAUCACGCAGGCAAUCAGGAGCCUGUUUUAAACCUUCCUCCCAGGAGACACGAGGGAGGAAGCGAGGGGGACAGUCGGAACGCAAGGAGGACAUCGGAACGCAAGGAGAGUGAGACCCAGCGAUAUUGCGCAGCAAAAGGAGUCUAACUAAAUAUAUUCUCUCUCUUCUGCACCAGGAGGAAUCUGGCGAAGCCCCGAUGUCGCUGGCCACCCCGGUGAAGAACUUUUGAGUUAUCGUUUUCUCACCCUUUUUCCCCCCUCCCCCCGUGGCAUUUUUUGAUAAUAAACCUUGGUUAAUUCCACCGUAACCCUGCUUGUUAUCUGCCUCUCUUCUCCCCUGGGACCUCUUGGCCUACCCCACGAGGUUGGGCGCUCACAGUACACAUAGGUACACAUGUAAUGUACCCAUGUACACGCGUACA